rfam:Pseudomonas sp. GM78 PMI35_contig188.188, whole genome shotgun sequence.
CGUUAUGGCGGCUGUGCGCGGGAGACCUUUGCGUCUGCCGGGAUUUGUCCGUUUGCCCGGGUUCCAGCCCGCGUACAGCUGCCACCCCU